CUAGUGCCACCAUGGUGUCUAAGCUCAUCAGAGAAACUGCAUGAGGUUGUUGCUACCUUGUGACACUCCAUAGUCGAUCUCGGCCAUAUUUCCUCCAAACAGGUUGGCAGCCAUUUGAAAUGUCUGUGACAUAACACUGGAGCAGUCCUGAAAAUAGCUUGGUUUCACCCCAAACUGCAGAAUCCUGAAACAGAAGCAGCGAAGCAAUCCUGUCACACCAGGUCUUCGUGCUUGGAGCCUGUGAGGAUGGCGGGGGGGAAACGACGACACAAAACCAACCAACCAACGAAAAAGAAGAAAAAGGGGA